CUGUAGUCAUCUGUACACUUACAACGCGAUGCACCAAACUAAUUAUAGUUAAGAAAGGGUGGAGAGAGGGGUCAGAGUGAGAGAAUAAGUCUAGAAACAGCCAAACCAGUCAGAUUUCAUGCUAAAAUUAAUAACCGUACAAGCAGUUGUUAUCAAGUUAAUCAGUAUCACUCUUGGUAAUGCAUUGUGGUCAGGUCCUGUACUGUAACUCACCUUUCUCUGCUUUGGCCUGGAGAAGCAUUAUGUUUUCUUAGCUUUGUCAGGAUGUAUGCCAUGGCAACUUUAACACCCAGGUUAGAGUGUCCACGGGACAGGCAGAUGACACCACCAAUAAGCAGCAAACCAUUUGCCAAAACUUUCCUUGAUGGCUUUUUAAGGAAUUUCCUCUCUUUGUUUACAUCAGUAAGCAAUCCAUCCAUGGUGAUUACUGCAGGAUUUGCUGGAGUAUCCACAACAAUGUCCAUUUGUUCUAAUCCUGGUGGAACCUUCUGGAUCAGAGACAAAGCAGUAACUGCAGGACCCAUCUGAAGAUGACUAAAUGCAUUGUACUUGUGCAGUGCAUUAUCCAUCUUACAAACAUAACUCCAUAUGCCCCUAGCAAAAGCAAACUUCGCCAUCUCUACAUUUAAACCAGCAUCUUCUUGGUGCCACAUUUUGAUCUCACAGGCAUUUCUACCAGGUACUUUCCCAAUUCUCCAACCAGAUCUAAAGAAACCCACUCGUAGAUACUUUCUCUGCUGAGGUGCUAACGGAUGCUCACAUUCCUUAAUAAAGCAGUAGAAUGUUUUAUCUUUUCCUUCCCAUAAUCUCCAGGCCAAUAUGUAUUCCCUGGGUGUCAAGAGUGGAAAUUUUUUUAUAGUGCAACCAACUUCAGUGCCAUUGGUUUUAUCCACCUCCAGCUGCCUAUGUUCAACCAAGGUAUUGUCCCACUGCUUUCUGUAGUCAUUAUCCAUGUAAAAGUCCUUAAGAAUCUCUGGGGAGCAAUUUUCAAAUACUG
rnacentral:misc_RNA from 1 species